UUUGGAAAAGGGAGGGGGGGCUCCUCCAAUACACAUCGCCCGAUGAUGCCUUCUAACGUUGCCCAGUUUAACCUGAUUUGUCUCUGUUCUUGAUUUUUACCUGGUAUCAUGCCUGGCAUAUAGGAAUUAAAUUCAGGAAUUAAAUCAAUUAAUCUAUCUCUGGAAUCUUAGUCCUGUAACUGUUUUGAGGUAAAAGAGGUUUACUGACUUUACCAAAGCCAAAGUAGUUACAGGUUUGUUGAUAACUGACAUUACCUGAGUUAUUCUUGAGUAUGUCUUUAUUUGGUAUUUAUUGAAGAGGCUUGGUAUUUUGUUCUGCAGUACAAUAUAGUGUCAGUGCUCUAGAAGUUUUCAAUCUAGCUGGAGAGACAAGGCUUAAGGUUAAAAGUUCAGCUAAAGUAUUGCACGUGGUAAAGAUAACUGAAGGAGUCCAGAGAGUGAAGGAUUCAGCCCUUUGUGUUAUAACUUGUGUUUUGGCAAGGAAACUUUCUUGGAAGAGACAAGAAUUCAGCUGGCCUUAAAAGAUGGAUGGUUGUGAACAGGCAGAAAAGAAAGAGCAUAUUCAGGGCUGGGAGGUGGACAUAUUUGCAGGAGUGUGACAUCAGCCUGUCUGAAUUGCUGGUGUAAAGAUGAGCCGGAAGGAGAGGGAUUCAGAAGCAGGGAUGCUGUUGCCAAAAUCUAGGUGUGAAACAGCUGGUGGCAGUGAGAAGGAGCAAGGAGAGAGGAGAUUUUUAAAGGAAGAAUCGAUAUGUCUUCGUAAUGACUAGAGAUAGGUAAUAGAGGAGAUAACUUUUCCAUGCUGUAAGACUUUGAACUCAAGCCUAGAAUUAUGGUGCCUUAACAAACAGGGACUUAAGAAAGGAAGUUGAUUGGGGAGGGGGAGAGGUAAGGGGAGUUUUGGUGGCUUAACUUUAAACACUGAGUUUGAUAUAGAAUAAUAGCAAUUAAAUAUAUAAUGCUAGGAGUUACUCUAAGCAUCUUACUAAUAUGCUCUCGUAACCCUCACAACAAGCCCAUAAGAUAGGUAUUGUUGUCCCCAAUUUACAGAUGAGGUAACUGAGGUACAGAAUGUCCAAGAGAGCAAAGCGUGCUGAAUUUGACUCAGUGGGAGGCCCAUAUUGAGGAGGUAGGAAGAGG